UGAGGAAUAUUGCGCAAUGGAGGAAACUCCGACGCAGCGACGCCGCGUGAAGGAUGAAUGCCCUCUGGGUUGUAAACUUCUGUAGAGAGGGCAGAAUGUCCGCCUUCGGCGGAUUGACGGUACCUCUAAAGUAAGCAUCGGCUAACUACGUGCCAGCAGCCGCGGUAAUACGUAGGGUGCGAGCGUUAAUCGGAAUUACUGGGCGUAAAGCGUGCGCAGGCGGUUUUGUAAGACAGAUGCGAAAUCCCCGGGCUUAACCUGGGAAAUGCGUCUGUGACUGCAAGGCUGGAGUACGGCAGAGGGGGGUUGAAUUCCACGUGUGGCAGUGAAAUGCGUAGAGAUGUGGAGGAAAACCGAUGGCGAAGGCAGCCCCCUGGGCCUGUACUGACGCUCAUGCACGAAAGCGUGGGGAGCAAACA
rnacentral:rRNA from 1 species